CCUAGCCAAAUGUUGCCCUGCAUGCUGUUAUCUGUUGUAUUCACUGACCAAGAAUAACAUAGGCCUGACUGUCUGCUCAUCUACUGCAGGGAGUACUCAGAGAGGACGAGGUGAAAAUGAUGAUCAGGUCACUGAGGUAGCCCUCGAUGGUCUCAAGGAACAAGAAAGAAACCCUUAAUAAUUCUACAAAGAUCUUUCCCUCAUAGAGGUAUGAGGAUGUGAAGACCAUGAGUCAUUUUACCAAUAUGGAAACAGAGGCCCAGAGAGCCCUGGGAAUAUAAACAUAUUCCCAAGACCACGGAGUCCCAGAUGGGCUCCCACUGUGACUUGGCCCACAAGACAGAAGGAAUGGAACCAGGAAAGCAGAGACCUGUGAAAUGCACCUGCUGGCUCCUCCCCCUUGAUCUGGACAGAGAUGUGGGAUACCUGUUCACCAUUCAUUAGAUGCUUGGGAAGCCUUGCUAAUUAGAUGAAAAUAAAGGAAAUGAAAAACA